UGAGGUAUACUGGGGUGCACUAAGGCUUUCUGAAAGGAGCAGGUGCCACUCAGACCCCUCUCUUACUGCUGUGAGUGCAAGCUCAGCAUUAUCAGAUCUUGUUUUUAGUAUCAUUUCAUCCCAGAAAUCCUAUGAGGCAUCUGACAAACAAGGAAACUGAAAUAUGGAGAGGAUAAAGUAAUGAUAGCACUGGGAUCUGAAUUGAGCUCUGACUUGAGAGCCUAACCUCUUAGUCAUUUUUUAAUACUGUCCAACAGAAAAUAUAAAUUCCAGAAAGUCCAGGGGUUACCUUUGAAUGGUAUGAUUUUUACUUUUGUUCUCCCAAAUUUUCUUAAUGCGCAGUCCUUGUGUUAUUACAAAAAAAAAAAUCCAGUGUGACUCUGUGUGUGUGAGAGACACUAUCUCACUCUGCCACCCAGGUUGGAGUGCAGUGGUACAAUCUCCGCUCACUACAACUUCUGCUUCCCACGAAGCAGAGAAUUGUUCAAGUGAUUCUCGUGGCCUCAGCGUCCCCAGUAACAGGGAUUAUAGGUACGCACCACCACGCCUGGCUAACUUUUCUAUUUUUAGUAGACAGGGUUUCACCAUAUUGGAUGGUCUCAAACUCCUGAUCUCAGGUGAUCCACCUGCCUUGGCCUCCCAAAGUGCUUGGAUUACAUGCGGGAACCACCGCACCUGGCCUUUUUUUUUUUAAAAACAAGAAAUUUAAUGUCUGAAAAGAUCAUACUUGUUCAAGGCCACAGUUAAGAACAUGCCAGAUCCUAUAAUAGAUUUCUAGUAUUCGUACCAUGAAUAAAUAUUUGUUUAGCUUUGGGCUGGGUGCCACACACACACACACACACACACAAAACUAGUCCUUUUCUAAAAGAAUCUUAUUUUGACAACUUUGUUCUUAGGUGCAGCCUUAGCCCAGAUGUUCCUGUCACAUCUUUGUCCCUCUAUGACAUGACUCAAACGCCAUUAGGCUCUGCCUCAGUUUGUGCCCACUCAAAGCAGGAGCAUGGCUACUACUGAUUACCAUAUCAGUAAUUUAACAGACUGCUUAUUUUUUAGUCCAAGUAUCUGGAAGCAAGCUUUACACUUUGUACCUUGAAACAAUAGUGAAGCCUCAUGCAUAUGUUCAAGCUCCCGUGUUUUUUACUGGUUUACCAUCUGAAGGCUUUAGUAAGUCACUAGGAUCCAUAGAACACUGGGAGAUUCUUGAGCUGUUUGUGGCACAUCUUGCUCAAGGGCAGGCAUUUUUUACAUCCACCAAAGUGGCUGUGGUGGAAAAAGCAUUCAUCUUAGGGGUACCAGAUUGGCUUCAGAUCCGUUUUCUCACUUAGGAGCCAGUAUCCUGUAAGUCACUCACUCUUGAGGCAAGUUUGCUGCCCCAUCUCUGCUUAGGUUUCUAGCUUCAUCAUCUUCCCCUGGAGACCACACCCCAGCCUGCUAAACUCCCUGCCCCUCUCUGAAUCUCUGGGCUCUCCUGCUUUGGGAUUCAUGCUGGUAUACAUGUCAGGAAGUCUAUUUCUCAUCCCUUCAUCCCCCAAUCCAGCUAUUUCUUGCCCAUCUUUGAGCAGUGACAUCAGCUAUUGAGGAUGUGCUACUCACCCAGGCUGAACUAGGUACCCUUUCUGUCCUUUGGCAGGCUGUGCUAACCUGUUAGAUUUAAGAAAUCCUUUGUUGGGGAGACAGGGUUUCACUCUUAUUAUUGCCCAGGCUGGAGUGCAGUGGCUCGAUCUCGGCUCACCACAAUCUCUGCCUCCCAGGUUCAAGCGAUUCUUCUGGUUCAGCCUCCCAAGUAGUUGGGACUACAGGCAUGCACCACCACACCUGGCUAAUUUUGUAUUUUUAGUAGAGACAGGGUUUUUCUCCAUGUUGGUCAGGCUGGUCUUGAAUUCCUAACCUCAGGUGACCCGCCCACUUUGGCCUCUAUUAGAUUUAAAAUAUUGUUUUGUAAUUGCCUUUACCUGUCCCCACCAAAAGGCAGUUGCCCAUAUAAUCAUCCAAACUACUUGUUAAAUCAAUCCAGAGAAGUAACUAGCACUUACUUCACAGGGUUGUUGGGGCAAUCUAUAAACUGUAGGCUGCUGUUUGGUCUACUGUUGAUCCGUUUCUCUAUCUUUGAACAGUGCCUAUUAACAAGAAUAUAUUGCUUCCUUGUUCUCUCCUUUUUGCCCCUCUCCAUCAUCCCCUAAAAGCCCCAUUCUCUGAGAGGGUAACCUUGAGCUUCUGGGUUUUGUAGAUGUCUAUACCUGAGAUCCGACAAUGUAGUAGAAGGCAACUGUGCUGAUGAAUUACUACAAAACUCCCAUCGUGUCGUGGAGGAGUACUUUGUGGCCCCUCCAGGUAAUAUCCCUUUGCCAAAGCUGGAUGAACAAGAGCCAUUCCCACACAGCUGAGUAACUCAUUCUGGAAAGGGGGUACUGUGAACACUAAUGCUCCUGCUUUUCUCAGUCACCUAAAAAAAUGGACGCUUAAGCAUUUCUUAAUAACAGACUCUCCUGAAGACAGAAUUGGGAAAGAUCUAUCCCAAUGAGUUCUAGAGCCCAAAGAUCUCUAACAGUGAGUUCCUGAUACUAACUGAAAUGAAAGGAAACAAAAGUCAGCUUCCAAGGUAUUCACUUAACAGGCCUGUUCCGUAAGGAAGACAUUAUUUAUCUGCCUUUAACCCCAAAGGACUGAACCAACUGCAUGAAAGUGAACUUUUCUCUCUAUGUAACUGGUAGACGGAGCAUCUUGAUCACUAUGUGACAACCUUGGCUGUCCUUUUUAGUUGCCAUUUGCAUUGAUUUGAGCAGGCCUAUCUUGACCAAACAUACCUGAAUUUGUUCCUGGGCACCCACUUUGUUCCUAGAAAAGGGCUAACUUCCUACUAAGGUCUGAAGAGUGUUCAAAGUAGACUAAAGCUUGGGAACUCCUAACCUAGAACUAUCUGCCAUCCCACAAAGUGAUUAUAUGCAAAAGGGAUACUAGUCAUACCUAGUGUUUCUCUUUCUGAAAAGAGAACCUGUCUUAAAAUUAGCCCUGGGACAAAGCAAAACAAUGAUUAAAUUGAGAUGACCAAGACUGUGGGUUUUUUUUGUUU